GAUGAAGAACGUAGCGAAAUGCGAUAAGUAAUGCGAAUUGCAGAAUCCGUGAGUCAUCGAAUCUUUGAACGCAUAUUGCGCCCUUUGGCAUUCCGAAGGGCAUGCCUGUUCGAGCGUCAUUAUCACCCCUCAAGCCCCGGCUUGGUGUUGGGCCCCCGGUGGUCGUACCCGACCACCCGCCUCAAAGAUAGUGACGGCGUCCCAGAGGGAACCGGUACGAGGAGCUUUCACGAGCAUGUACGCGGGGACGACUCUGUGGGCGACGGUCUUUUUUAACCUUAAUAUAUCAAGUGUUGACCUCGGAUCAGGUAGGAAUACCCACUGAACUUAAGCAUAUCAAUAAGCGGAGGA
rnacentral:misc_RNA from 1 species